ensembl:lncRNA
GGGGGUUUGUGAGGCGGAACUCACAGAUGGUGGGGUAGUGGUUGUACAUCACACGGCAGGUAUGUGUGGAAGUGUUAUAGCCCUCGGCACUCACCGUGACCUCGUACUCACCCGGGUUCAGCAGGCGCCAGUAGUCCCCGUCAGGUACUACAGUAGGGGCAGGACACAAAAUGGCUACUGCUGAAGAGCUCCCAUCUGCAAACCAAGGCUGGAUGCUGUGAGAGGUCUGUUGGUGGACAAAGGGCAGCAUACUUUUAUGAGGACCUAAAGGGUUGCAAAAGUUGUGUGGAACUCUUCGUGGACUUCCUGUGGAGAAAACAACAACAAGAGGGGAGAGGAGAGAGGAGAUUCUUCCGCCCACCUUAACAGGGAACAAGGCUUCGCCAUAAUCCCAAUGUGCACCCUUGCUGCAUCCUGGAGGAAAGGAGUGGGGGGAGAGGGCGUCCUGUUUCCUGUGGCCAGUUGUGUUCGCUCCGUUCCCCU